rnacentral:rRNA from 1 species
GACGAACGCUGGCGGCGUGCUUAACACAUGCAAGUCGAACGGAAAGGCCCUGCUUUUGUGGUGUUCUCGAGUGGCGAACGGGUGCGUAACACGUGAGUAACCUGCUCUUGACUUUGGGAUAACUUCAGGAAACUGGGGCUAAUACCGGAUAGGAGCUCCUGCUGCAUGGUGGGGGUUGGAAAUUCUCGGCGGUUGGGGAUGGACUCGCGGCUUAUCAGCUUGUUGGUGGGGUAGUGGCUUACCAAGGCUGUGACGGGUAGCCGGCCUGAGAGGGGGACCGGCCACAUUGGGACUGAGAUACGGCGCAGACUCCUACGGGAGGCAGCAGUGGGGAAUAUGGCACAAUGGGCGGGAGCCUGAUAAAGCAACGCCGCGUGCGGGAUGACGGCCUUCGGGUUGUAAACCGCUUUAGCCUGUGACGAAGCGUGAGUGACGGUAAUGGGUAAAGAAGCACCGGCUAACUACGUG